GGCCACAUCACGUUGAAACACCGAUUCCCGUACGAUCACUGAAAUUAAGCAAUCUCGAGCCUGCUCAGUACCUAGACGAGUAACCGCUUGAAAAAUACCAGGUGCUGUAAG